UCACCUUCACUCCCCUUUCACCCCCUUAACCCGGAUCUAUGCAUCAGCCCGGACGCCCGCAGCUUCCGCCGACGCACCGCCCCACCCCCACACGGUACACAUGAUCACGACAGGCUGUGCAUCUGUUCCAACCGGGAAGACCCUCCCUCCUCGUACUCCGAGGAGGAGGAGAUUGGGGAGGAGAGGAGGAGGAGGGGAAUCAACUGCCAAGCGGGGACGGCCGGGGUGAUGGUGGUGUAUUGCUGUGCCACCUCCGGCCCUACCUCUGCCUCCUCCCUCCUCCCGCCCCUCAUCGCUCUCCUCCCCUAUCACCGCCGCAGGUUGGACACAAGCUCCGACCCCGUGGGGGUGUUCCAAUAGCGGCCCUUCGUAUCCUGCAUAGCAGAAACCAAUCCAAAGAUAUUUUUAGGACUCCGAAGAAAAC
rnacentral:lncRNA from 1 species